ACUCCUUUCUUUGCUUUUCCUAUAAUCAGGCCUGAUCCAGUUAAUGGAAUGGCAUAUCCACCUCGGUAUGAGGGGAUUGAUAUUGAUCAUAUUAGCAGAUUAAAAAAGGCAGUGACAAUGUACGGACCUCAAUCUCAUUAUGUAAAAGCAUUGCUUAAUGCUUUUGCUACUCAUUAUAAUAAUUUUGCUCCAAUACAUAGGAAUUAUGUAAAGUGUUAAAGCAACUGUAUAUGUUUAAAUUGUGUAUGUUAAAGAUUAGGAAAAAAGAUAAUAAUUAUUUUUCCUAAAUGAAAUAACAUUCUUCUCUCCACCAAAUUUUUUUUUCUGAAGUUAAUGGCAUUUAAGUCAAGGUUUUAUUAAAAGCUACAUUUUAUAACACUGGCACAAAAAAAGUAGUUUUAAGCUUGUUUGCACAGUUCUUUUUUUCCAUUGGAAAUGGAAUUCAUUGCCUUAGGUCUUUUUAAAUAGUGUAUUAUCGUUGGGGCUGGCUCUAUGCUUGAAAACCAGUUUAUUUAUAACCUGUUGUAAGUGCUAUAUUCUGUUUGCAGUUAGGAAAUGCAGAAUUUUAAGUGAUCUCCUAGCUUGUAAGCAAACUGAGAUGCACUAUCCCUUUUCUAUAUAAAAAUGAGUUAAUGUGUCAAUAAAUCAACUCAGCAAGGUGGGUUUAAUAUUACCCUUUCCUAUGUGUUUUAUCUAAUUCUUUUGGUUGUUAAUAUGGUGAUAAAUGAAAGUCAAGGUAAAUUUUAAAUAUUAAAUUUUAAAUCUUAAUAUUUAAAUUUUUUCCUUUCCGAUUUAUUGAGCUUGAAUUAUGCCACCAUGCUUAUGUAAAAAUGAAGGUGGCACCAUGGUAAAACUUAAUGAGAAGUAGUUUCUCAGUUGUAAUAAUUUUGAUUUCUCUUUCUUGUGAUCUCUCCUUCCCUGUUGUCUUGAACCAUAGCAAAAGGAUACUGCAUCUCUCAUUACUAUAGUGAUGAGGUUAUUGAAGUUAUAUAAACACAUCUCAGUCUCUGUUUCUUUGAAAGGUAUCUGUUAAGUCCUGCUAGGUGAUUGACAAGACUAAGUAGGGAGAAUAAAGGUAAAUGUGAUUCAUGUUUUGCACACAAAUGCAGAAUUUUAUAACCACAUGACUUCAUAGUUGUGAUCUCAAAAGGAAUUUCUCCUUAUAAUUUUUCUUGCAGUUAAUGUAAGAAUACUCUAAAUCUCUAAGCUUCUGAAGUAUUAGAGGUAGAGAUGAUCUAGUAAAGAUGUAGUUUAUCCAUUUAGCAUGUGUUUAUUUUUCCUUAUGUACUCAAGGUGAUUUAUUUGUUCAGCUCAGUGAUAUUACAGCUAAAAAAACAUUAGCAAAAGGAGAAGCAGUCUACAUCUAACAGAGGAAUCAGAAAUGUUUCUUAUUUUUGUUAAGUUGAAUGUUUGACUCUAACACUUUUCUACAUACAAAACAUAAGUUCCUUAAAGAUUCUUCAUAAUUGUAUUAUAGAAGAAUUUAAUAUGUCAUAAAUACUUAAUUUGACAUUCAUCUGUAGUAGCCAUAUGUUGUUUGAUUUCCUUAUGAGCACCAUGAUGGAAACACUCAAAUGAAUUUGAGAAAAAUUGGAAGAAAUUAGAUUAUCGGGUUCUGUUAAAUUGUUAAUGUAUCUUGCUUAAAUUUUUGUUCAUUAAUUUAUAUCCAUCUGAUUAUAUAAAGUAAAUUUGGAGGAAACAGCUGAAGUUGUGCAAUAUUUUCAGUGAUAAUUACUUUUUGUUCUUGUGUUUUCUACUUAAAACACGAUGUAUAUGUUAUCCAGUAUUAUAGUCAGACCUUCUUUUCUAGAUUGUCAGAAUUGCUAAAUGAACUUUUUUUUUAAAUCAGUUUCCAUGUUGAUUUUAGUCUUUCUUUAUUAUAAGGCUUCUUUCACAGAAGUUUGGUAAUAUUGAAGGUACCGGUAUUAACAGAAUGAUUUUUGGGGCACUUUGUAUUCUUUGACUUUGUUCUCCACAUACCAUGUUAAAAUCCAUCAAUUUUGGCUUUUACUGAGUUGUUAAAUAAAGUUAUAAUACAGCUGUGAAGGGCUACAGUUAGAGUUGAUUACUGAGAAUAUCUCCCAAGAUAUCCCCCCCCCAAAAAAAGGGGGGAUCAUGUAUAAAUUUUAAAUUUGAUCACUAAAAUGUUUAGGUAUAUAUACCUUUGAGAAAUAUUUUUAUUGUUUGGCAUUUAAUAUCAUUUAAUCAUAUACUUUGAAACAGUAUAGCAUUAAAACUCUAUAGCAUUAAAGCUUCUAAAGCCCAAUAGGGGAAUUUAUUUAGAUGUGGGAUUUGAGCCAGGUAUGGUGGUGCAUACCUUAAUCCCAGUGAUUUAGGAGGCUGAGGCACACAGAUGGCAAGUUUAAGGCCAGCCACAGCAACUUAGACCCUGUCUGAGAAUUUUAAAAAGGUCUGGGGAUAUAGCUCAGUGGUGAAGUGUCUGCCCCUUGUGUCUUGGCUGCCCCUGCCAAGUCAUUUUGAAAUGGUAUGAAAAGCCUAACCAGGAAAAAACAAUAACCUUAUCCUUUUAAAUGCAAAAAACAACAUGUUACAAUACUUCAAUUAGGAAAUGCAGAAUUGGGAGGGAAUUUUUCAUUAAAUUUGUCUCUUGAGAAAAUUUACUAUUUUUUUACUGGGAGGUUGCUUUCCACAGAAGGUUUUGUUUUCUUAGUAUGAAUGAGGGAGAGCAUAUUAUGCAUCUAAAAUGCCUAAUGUGAUCAGUAGAGUAGCAGCACUGUAUGCUUUUGAACCCUUUUAAAACCAUGCUUAUAGACUCCAGAUUCCUGGCAUUGAGGAAAGUAAGUUAAAUUUGCAUUAACUAAGGACUUAACCCUAAAAAUCUGGGCAUAGUAAUGGAUUCUUGUGAGAAGAUUUGGUUGGCCAUGCCAAAAUAAAUCAAUAAAAAGCCUACCAUAUAGUAGUUGAUGCAGUCAGUUAGGACUCAAAAGCAUUAUGUGAACUGGGAACCCUAGUCUAUGCUGUCAGAAAGAGGUUGGUUUUCAGUACUGAGUGCAGGAGCAGGCUACAUUCUGCUGAUUCCAGGAGUAGAGCUAAUCCUUCAGUUUUGAAGCGGUGCCAAAUAAUGAUCUUCUAUCCAUGAGUGUGGCCAAACUCAGUAAACAGAUUAUAAACUACAGUAUUACAGUGCAGCAUUUGGUCCUUAUGACCUUUGUCAUACUGAUUAUCUGUAAUGACAUGAAGGAAAAUAAUUCAUAGGUCUUUCUGGUUGUGAGAUAGGUGCUAUUCUAGCAAGUCAUUUUCAGAUGGGCUGUUAUUGCCAGUCCUACUCUUAUAACUCUCUCUUAAACCUUGAAUUAAUGACUUUGAAUAUGCUGUUGAAAUAAGAAAUGAUGUUCAUGGCUAUGGCUUUUGAUCAAUUGGUCUUCUGAUUUCCUGGGAAGAGCUAAGAAUAUGAAAUACCAACUCAUGUAAGUGAUGAUCACUUAGCCUGUUGAAAGCAUUCCCUUUUUUCCCCUCCUAAUUCCAGUAACAGGUGAAGGGAAGAUAAGGUAUUUUUGUUAGCAAUUUAGAAAAGUCAGAAAUAAUUGGUUCUAAAGGUUUAAUCCAUGUUUAACCUUAUAAAAGCACAUGGGAAGUAAAAUAACUUUAAUAGAUUAGAAGAUGUCAUUCCUCAGUUUAAAAUUUUAAUAGUUUCCUGUUUUAAGUAAACUCAACUCCUUAACUGGGAUGAGUUGGCUUUCUGCAUCCCUUUAUUUCAUAGGACUCUACCACUGGUUUCAUGGAUCAUCUUUUAGUGUCUUCUAAAAAUGCCAUGCCUCUUACCUGUUUCAUCUUUUUGCAGUAUAGUUUCUGCUCUGUAGCUCCUCUCAACAUUGUUCAGAUUGCCGGCUUCUUAGCCCUUGGAGCCAAAUAUAUUCCAUUAUUUUACUCCAUGGCUUAAUUCUUUAAGUACCUAUAUGUCUUCCCUAUCAGAAUAAGCUCCACAAAAGCAAGAUAGUGGGUUGGGAUUGUGGCUCAGUGGCAGAGUGCUUGCCUCGCACAUAUGAGGCACUGGGUUCAAGUCUCAGCACCACAUAAA
rnacentral:lncRNA from 1 species